rnacentral:rRNA from 1 species
UACGUAGGUGGCAAGCGUUGUCCGGAAUUAUUGGGCGUAAAGCGCGCGCAGGCGGUCUUUUAAGUCUGAUGUGAAAGCCCACGGCUCAACCGUGGAGGGUCAUUGGAAACUGGGAGACUUGAGUGCAGAAGAGAAGAGCGGAAUUCCACGUGUAGCGGUGAAAUGCGUAGAGAUGCGGCGGAACACCGAUGGCGAAGGCAGCCCCCUGGGCUGAGAUUGACGCUCAGGCACGAAAGCGUGGGGAGCAAACAGG